GGCGCCAUCGUCAAGAGGUUAAGACACCGCCCUUUCACGGCGGGUUCGUGGGUUCGAAUCCCGCUGGCGUCACCA
rnacentral:tRNA from 3 species